UCGACGCCGCGGCCGUUGCCGGCUCCCACACCCGCGGGCCUUUAUCUCCCCGGCGGCCGCCGCCGCCGCCCUGCUCGUCCAGCGGGCUGGCCCUGUCCAUGGGGCGUAGGGGCUACCCGCGCCCUUCGACGCCCGCACGCGCCUCCUUCUGCCCUUCCGCCGCGGACGAUGCCGACUUCUCUGAGUCUAAUGCGAUCCUGGUGGUGGCCACGCCCUGCGAGAGUCUGCUGCUGCUCAGCCCAGCGUCUUGCCGUGGCGGGCGCCUGUCGUCGGAGCUCUGGUUGUCGGUUCCAGAGUCGGGUGGUUCCACACAGGGGCGCAUAUCCCGUUGUGCCACCAAUCACUUAAUUCGGCUCUCUUGAGCUGCCCGGCUUCGGCGGCGAAGAUGAUGGCGAUGCCUAGGACAUAACGGCCACAUGGGAUGAAACUAGCAGAGAUGAAGAAGGCGGUGGUCGUUGGGAGGAGAAGAUUGCCCGGAAGCUGGAGGACGUGCACCAGCUGCGGUUGCUGGACAACCGCUACGUUUAGUGGCUGAGGGAAUUGUUGGGCUACGAGAAUCAGUCGCUGAUAAGAGGGCUGAGGCUGAGAAGAUCAAGAGGGAUCAGAGAUUGUGCUCAAUUGUUGGUGGUCAGGACGUCAGUUUGCAGGAGUUAUCUGAAGAAAGGACUCACUAUCUGGUUAAAUGUUCCAUUGGAUGCCCUUGCAAGAAGGAUUGCUGCGGUGGUUCAGCGUCAUUGCCCCUCCUGCAUCAACAAUCUGGUGAUCCAUAUGCAAAGGUUCAGAAGAGCUAUUUUGUGUACAUGAGUUGCUACUGGCAGUGGACAGAUUGUCUAUGCAGAGUGCGUAGAGAAAAAAAUGCUCACACACAAACACAAACGACAUCCAGUAGGCGCUUGGAACACCCGACAGAUUGAAAGCACAGAAGCAAAGAUUUCCAAUACGAGGCCACGAUGCCCGACAGAGAUGUAGCCAAUAUGUGCCCAAUCCUUAUUUCUUGAUGUUGGAACAACAAGUAAGAGCAUGUUCAUGUUUACUUAUUAUGUUUUUUGAGAAAUUUAUGGGAUUUACAAGCUGAAAUUAUUGACUGCUUCAAAAUAUGUUUUAACCAAAACUGUUUGCACGAUAUUUCCCUGGUUCUGCAUUCAUGGAAUU